GGCGGCGUGCUUACACAUGCAAGUCGAACGCGAAAGUUUUCUUCGGAAGACGAGUAGAGUGGCGCACGGGUGAGUAACGCGUAAGUAAUCUGCCCUGGUAUUUGGGAUAACCCACCGAAAGGUGUGCUAAUACCGGAUACGCUGAUUUAUCAGGAAAGGUGGCCUCUUCAUGAAAGCUACUGUACCAGGAAGAGCUUGCGUACCAUUAGCUAGUUGGUAGGGUAAUGGCCUACCAAGGCAACGAUGGUUAGCGGGUCUGAGAGGAUGAUCCGCCACACUGGAACUGAAACACGGACCAGACUCCUACGGGAGGCAGCAGUGAGGAAUAUUGCGCAAUGGGGGAAACCCUGACGCAGCGACGCCGCGUGGAUGAUGAAGGCCUUAGGGUCGUAAAAUCCUGUCAGAUGGAAAGAAAUGUACAGGUGCUAAUAUCACUUGUAUUUGACGGUACCAUCAAAGGAAGCACCGGCUAACUCCGUAGCCAGCAGCCGCGGUAAUACGGAGGGUGCAAGCGUUGUUCGGAAUUACUGGGCGUAAAGCGCGCGUAGGCGGUUUGUUAAGUCAGAUGUGAAAGUCCACGGCUCAACCGUGGAAGUGCAGUUGAAACUGGCAGACUUGAGUACUGGAGGGGGUGGUGGAAUUCCCGGUGUAGAGGUGAAAUUCGUAGAUAUCGAGAGGAAUACC
rnacentral:rRNA from 1 species